GUGUGACUGCGUACCUUUUGUAUAAUGGGUCAGCGACUUAUAUUCUGUAGCAAGGUUAACCGAAUAGGGGAGCCGAAGGGAAACCGAGUCUUAACUGGGCGUUAAGUUGCAGGGUAUAGACCCGAAACCCGGUGAUCUAGCCAUGGGCAGGUUGAAGGUUGGGUAACACUAACUGGAGGACCGAACCGACUAAUGUUGAAAAAUUAGCGGAUGACUUGUGGCUGGGGGUGAAAGGCCAAUCAAACCGGGAGAUAGCUGGUUCUCCCCGAAAGCUAUUUAGGUAGCGCCUCGUGAAUUCAUCUCCGGGGGUAGAGCACUGUUUCGGCAAGGGGGUCAUCCCGACUUACCAACCCGAUGCAAACUGCGAAUACCGGAGAAUGUUAUCACGGGAGACACACGGCGGGUGCUAACGUCCGUCGUGAAGAGGGAAACAACCCAGACCGCCAGCUAAGGUCCCAAAGUCAUGGUUAAGUGGGAAACGAUGUGGGAAGGCCCAGACAGCCAGGAUGUUGGCUUAGAAGCAGCCAUCAUUUAAAGAAAGCGUAAUAGCUCACUGGUCGAGUCGGCCUGCGCGGAAGAUGUAACGGGGCUAAACCAUGCACCGAAGCUGCGGCAGCGA
rnacentral:rRNA from 1 species